CACGUAGGGUGCGAGCGUUGUCCGGAAUUAUUGGGCGUAAAGGGCUCGUAGGCGGUCCGUCACGUCGGGAGUGAAAACUCGGGGCUUAACCCCGAGCCUGCUUCCGAUACGGGCGGACUAGAGGUAGGUAGGGGAGAACGGAAUUCCUGGUGUAGCGGUGAAAUGCGCAGAUAUCAGGAGGAACACCGGUGGCGAAGGCGGGUCUCUGGGCCGAUACUGACGCUGAGGAGCGAAAGCGUGGGGAGCGAACAGG
rnacentral:rRNA from 1 species